AUGAAAUAUAAAAAUAUACUUCAAACAAGUAAGGUAUAAUUUCAUUACAAGAAAUGGUGAUGUUGUUUAGCCUACCCUACCUAUUUAAACAGCAUUCAGUGGCUGCAUUCAACAUGUGAUAUAUUUAAGUAGUUAGUGGAAUUUUCUAAGCAAAAAAAACAACAUUUUUCAGCCAUCCCAACACUGCCAGUAUUUAAUAUUGUCUAUUUGAAAGUAACACCUAAAUGCCUUUAUACAUACAAGUCUCCAAAUUUGUGCUUACUGGACAUGUUCAAAUUUCACCUCCAUUUUAGCCAACAGAAAAAAGGCUGAGGGCCAAAAACAGGUGGGGGUCCACCAUCACACCACUCAGAGGCUGAAGAGAUGGCCCUCACUCAAAACAUUACUGAUGGUGUUAUCUGUCUGGUGGAACCUUCUGCCAUAACAGACCUCCAUGCAGUUAUGAUGAAGACACCUUGUCAGCUGCCACAGAGAGGAGCAAUGCUGGAAAUUACAAUGAGGAAGAGGGUCCAUUCACCUCCACAGCACAACUUACCUCAGUAAGAUUGUAAGAACUUACCUCAGCAAGUUGUUCAGCAUUGGCCCAUGACUUACAAUGAAACUACGUAGACCUGGUACUGUGAAAUUCAUAUUUUUUUGUGUUCCUAUAGCUCCCUGUGGAAACAGCUGUACAAUGUGUACUUAGAGAAACAAAUUGACAAAUGUAAUUUAGAAGCGAAAUAUAAAAAUAACUGCUGGAACAUCAGUUAAAGGUGGGUGGGGUGCCCACAGGUGGAUGAUUUUACUUGUUUGAACAACAUAAAAAAAAUAUAUCACUGGGGAGGUGAUGGGUUAAUCAGAAAUGAUGGAAGCAUAUUGUGUCUUUGAUUGCUCUUCCAUCUCGUGGGUAAGCGGGGUGGUCAGGAUCGUUCACGGGUUGAGUAGGACAUUGUUCUCCUCUAAUUGUGGCAAUGUUGUGGAGAAUCACACAUGCCACAAUGUCACAUGGCCUUUCUGGGGUGACCCUGAGCCUACGAAGGCAAUGGAACCGGGCCUUGAGCAUCCCAAUGGUCAUCUCUACCCUGGCUCGUGUCCUGCAGUGAGCCAAGUUAUAACGUUGCUGCGGGCCGGGCUCAGGAUCAGGGUAAGAAGGGGUCAGCAAUUAGGGCUGGCAGGGGUACCCUCUGUCACCGAGCAGGUAACUAUCGAACGCUCCUAUGAUAAUACGAGGAUACAGUUUACAUUUUCAGUUGCAAUAGGAGGAAACAAAAUAUUGAUUUUAAUAGGAUAUAGCUAUAUAUAUAAACUCACCACGGGCAAAGCUAGCGCUCAGUGUACACUCACGAAAAAUUCACGAGUCAUGCACAGACCCAGGCCACUUUGCUUCCACGUUGCUGAUGAUGUGGGCUGCAUCACAUAUGAUCUUCCCCAUGCAGAACAGUAAUUAUUUCACAACACAUCUAGUGCAGCUAUCUUUCAUUUGGAAUGCUAAAGGCUACCAUUUAGGCCUACCUGCACAUUAAUGCUGUGGAAAGACUUCCUAUUCACAUAAUCUCCUUCAAUUACUGAAGGAGCUGUGAUAGGAAUAUGAGUGCCAUCUAUGCAGCCAAUCACACCUGGGAACCCAAAAUAUAUCAAAUUAACUGAUUAGUGCUUUGCUUCAUACUAAAUAAAUACAUUAUUGCUUAGACUGAUAACUGCAAUUAUGUGGAAUUCUUCUCUGAUGGGUCUUGUGGGUCUGUGACUAGGAGACACCACAAAAGUGUACAGUAAACGUUUCAGUGUAAGAGUCACAUUUCUGACAGCCGACACAGUUGCCUUGGAAAUAUGCCCAGCGUCACUGAUGUUAUAUAGAAAACUCCCUUUGGCAAAAAAACGAAGUGCAACACAAAGAAUUUGUUCCGAACUGAGAACAUGUCCACGAUGUGUCAUAUGAACGAUAUGAGAAUAUUGUUCAGAUGAAUGAUCGAUUGUGCAGAAAAACGGAAACACUCAAACAGAUAAUCAUCAGGGAAUGAUAAAACAUCCAAGCGGGGUCUGAUCACCUCCCAACGGAGAUUUUUGCUGAGUUUUUGUGCAAUAUCAACUGGCUCUUCAAGAAAAGGACACGCCAUGUCUGACACCUCCUUCAGUCUGCAGGCUUCAGCUAAAGAGGAGGAGAAACUCAGCCAGGGUUAGUUGAAGAAAACCUGUUCGCUGGUAGGUUUUCUUCACGGAGUAUGUUGCCAUAGUUACUGAAAUAGCUUUGUAAAACCGAAAACCCAGAGUUUCCUUCAACUCUGAGUCAACUAACUCUUGAGUUUUCACUAAACCCGCUUUCUGAAACAGGGCCCUCUUGAUGUGACCUUGAUCUAGGCGCUUAACCUUUAGUGCUCCUUGUGAGGAUCUGUGUUUGUUGCGCUAUAACCCAAUACCAUAUCAUACGCGAUUGAAUGUUAGUUACUGUUGGUCUGUGUGUGUGUGCGCUAGAAUUGUGCAAACAUAGUGUGACUAGCUGAGAGGCCAUGGUUAAGCUUGAGUGUAAAACAGUAUUUUGAGCCAUUGACACAUGCAUAGAAGAAGUGUUGCAAACAGUCAAUUUUUAGGUUGGAUCACAACUACAGGAACUGAGCCUGCGGCCGCAGUCUCUAGGGUGCGAUCGCAUGGUUAAUUUGCACAGCAACAGCUAUUUCUGUCAAACUGGAGCGCCUGGAGGCUGGGACCAGCCUGCGCGCCACCGAUAGGCUGAGUAAGUUUAAACCACACUCAGUCUCUUCUCUGAUAGGCCAGCUCAGAAGCGGGAACUAUUUCUGUCAGAGUAUUUGAGAAGCAUCUUGUUAGGAAUGGGGAGUUCUCUGCUUUACCCUGCGUGGUGAUACAGUGAACCCGUAU